CCUACGGGUGGCAGCAGUGAGGAAUAUUGGUCAAUGGGCGCGAGCCUGAACCAGCAAAGUCGCGUGAGGGAAGACGGUCCUAUGGAUUUUAAACCUCUUUUGCCGGGGCGCAAAAGACGCCACUCGCUGCGUUCCGAGAGUACCCGAAGUACAAGCCUCGGCAAACUCCGUGCCAGCAGCCGCGGUAAUACGGGGGAUGCGAGCGUUAUCCGGAUUUAGUGGGUUUAAAGGGUGCGCAGGCGGAAGAUCAAGUCAGCGGUAAAAUUGAGAGGCUCAACCUCUUCGAGCCGUUGAAACUGGUUGUCUUGAGUGAGCGAGAGGUAUGCGGAAUGCGUGGUGUAGCGGUGAAAUGCAUAGAUAUCACGCAGAACUCCGAUUGCGAAGGCAGAAUACCGGCGCUCAACUGACGCUCAUGCACGAAAGUGUGGGUAUCGAACAGGAUUAGAUACCCUUGUAGUC
rnacentral:rRNA from 1 species